UGUAAACUGCUUUUAUACACAAGAAAAAACACUACGUGUAGGUGCCCGACGGUAGUGUAUGAAUAAGCAUCGGCUAACUCCGUGCCAGCAGCCGCGGUAAUACGGAGGAUGCGAGCGUUAUCCGGGAUUCAUUGGGUUUAAAGGGUGCGUAGGCGGUCUUUUAAGUCAGUGGUGAAAUCUUGCCGCUUAACGGUAAAAUUGCCAUUGAUACUGAAAGACUUGAGUACAGUUGAGGUAAGCGGAAUGUGUAGUGUAGCGGUGAAAUGCUUAGAUAUUACACAGAACACCAAUUGCGAAGGCAGCUUACUAAACUGGUACUGACGCUGAUGCACGAAAGCGUGGGGAGCGAACAGGAUUAGAUACCCUGGUAGUCCACGCCGUAAACGAUGCUCACUCGCUGUUUGCGAUACACAGCAAGCGGCCAAGCGAAAGCAUUAAGUGAGCCACCUGGGAGUACGAGCGCAAGGUUGAAACUCAAAGGAAUUGACGGGGGCCCGCACAAGCGGAGGAACAUGUGGUUUAAUUCGAUGAUACGCGAGGAACCUUACCUGGGCUUAAAUGUAGAGCGACAGAUUGUGAAAGCAGUCCUUCUUCGGACGAUCUACAAGGUGCUGCAUGGUUGUCGUCAGCUCGUGCCGUGAGGUGUCGGGUUAAGUCCCAUAACGAGCGCAACCCUUAUCGUUAGUUGCCAGCGGGUCAAGCCGGGGACUCUAGCGAGACUGCCACCGUAAGGUGUGAGGAAGGUGGGGAUGACGUCAAAUCAGCACGGCCCUUAUGUCCAGGGCUACACACGUGUUACAAUGGCCGAUACAAAGGGCAGCUACCAGGUGACUGGAUGCUAAUCUCCAAAGUCGGUCUCAGUUCGGAUCGAAGUCUGCAACCCGACUUCGUGAAGCUGGAUUCGCUAGUAAUCGCAUAUCAGCCAUGAUGCGGUGAAUACGUUCCCGGGCCUUGUACACACCGCCCGUCAAACAAUGGAAGCUGGGGGUACCUGAAGUCUGUAACCGCAAGGAGCGGCCUAGGU
rnacentral:rRNA from 1 species